rnacentral:snRNA from 1 species
AUACUUACCUGGCAGGGGAGACACCAUGAUCAGGCAGGUCGUUUUCCCAGGGCGAGGCUCACCCAUUGCACUUGGGGUGUGUUGACCCCUGCGAUUUCCCCAAAUGCGGGAAACUCGACUGCAUAAUUUGUGGUAGUAGGGGACUGCGUUCGCGCUCUCCCCUG